rnacentral:rRNA from 1 species
GACGAACGCUGGCGGCGUGCUUAACACAUGCAAGUCGAGCGAACCUUCGGGUUAGCGGCGAACGGGUGAGUAACACGUGGGCAACCUGCCCCGAGCUCUGGGAUAACCCCGGGAAACCGGGGCUAAUACCGGAUACGAGGCCAACAGACAUCUGUUGGUCUGGAAAGUUUUUCGGCUCGGGAUGGGCCCGCGGCCUAUCAGCUUGUUGGGUGGGGUAACGGCCUACCAAGGCGACGACGGGUAGCCGGCCUGAGAGGGCGACCGGCCACACUGGGACUGAGACACGGCCCAGACUCCUACGGGAGGCAGCAGUGGGGAAUAUUGCGCAAUGGGCGAAAGCCUGACGCAGCGACGCCGCGUGAGGGAUGAAGGCC